rnacentral:rRNA from 1 species
GUGGGGAAUAUUGGACAAUGGGCGAAAGCCUGAUCCAGCCAUGCCGCGUGUGUGAAGAAGGUCUUCGGAUUGUAAAGCACUUUAAGUUGGGAGGAAGGGCAGUAAGUUAAUACCUUGCUGUUUUGACGUUACCGACAGAAUAAGCACCGGCUAACUUCGUGCCAGCAGCCGCGGUAAUACGAAGGGUGCAAGCGUUAAUCGGAAUUACUGGGCGUAAAGCGCGCGUAGGUGGGUUUGUAAGUUGGAGGUGAAAUCCCCGGGCUCAACCUGGGAACUGCCUCCAAAACUGCAUGACUAGAGUACGGUAGAGGGUAGUGGAAUUUCCUGUGUAGCGGUGAAAUGCGUAGAUAUAGGAAGGAACACCAGUGGCGAAGGCGACUACCUGGACUGAUACUGACACUGAGGUGCGAAAGCGUGGGGAGCAAACAGGAUUAGAUACCCUUGUAGUCC